AUGGUUAAGGAACUCGGCAAAAUGCCCCCGUAACUUCGGGAGAAGGGGGGCCUGAGCUUUGAAGCCCCUUCGCGGGCUAGGAGCAAGGGUCGCAGAGAACAGGGGGGAGCGACUGUUUACUAAAAACACAGGUCCGUGCGAAGCCGUAAGGCGAUGUAUACGGACUGACGCCUGCCCGGUGCUGGAAGGUUAAGAGGAACCAUCAACCCCUCUUGGGGGUGAAGUGGUGAAUUUAAGCCCCAGUAAACGGCGGUGGUAACUAUAACCAUCCUAAGGUAGCGAAAUUCCUUGUCGGGUAAGUUCCGACCUGCACGAAUGGCGUAACGACUUCUCCGCUGUCUCAACCGCGAACUCGGUGAAAUUGCAGUACGAGUAAAGAUGCUCGUUUCGCGCAGAAGGACGGAAAGACCCCGGGACCUUUACUACAACUUGGUAUUGGUGUUCGCUGUGGCUUGUGCAGGAUAGGUGGGAGACCGUGAAGCUGUCACGCUAGUGAUGGUGGAGUCGUUGUUGAAAUACCACUCUGGCCUGGGCGUGCGCCUGAACCUCGGCUCGUGAUCCGGGCCAGGGACAGUGCCUGGCGGGUAGUUUAACUGGGGCGGUUGCCUCCUAAAGAGUAACGGAGGCGCUCAAAGGUUCCCUCAGCCUGGUCGGUCAUCAGGUAGUGAGUGCAAGUGCACAAGGGAGCUUGACUGUGAGACUGACGGGUCGAGCAGGUACGAAAGUAGGAACUAGUGAUCCGGCGAUCCCGUGUGGGUGGGUCGUCGCUCAACGGAUAAAAGGUACCCCGGGGAUAACAGGCUGAUCCUGCCCAAGAGUCCAUAUCGACGGCAUGGUUUGGCACCUCGAUGUCGGCUCGUCGCAUCCUGGGGCUGGAGCAGGUCCCAAGGGUUGGGCUGUUCGCCCAUUAAAGCGGUACGCGAGCUGGGUUUAGAACGUCGUGAGACAGUUCGGUCCCUAUCCUCUGCGCGCGCAGGAGACUUGAGAAGACCUGUCCCUAGUACGAGAGGACCGGGACGGACGAACCUCUGGUAUGCCAGUUGUUCCGCCAGGAGCACGGCUGGUUAGCUACGUCCGGACAUGGAUAACCGCUGAAAGCAUCUAAGCGGGAAACCAUCUUCAAGACCAGGUCUCCACCACCCCCUCCUUUCUUUUUCGCUAUAGUGAAUAGAGGGGAGGGGUGGGAAGGCCCCCAGAUGAUGACUGGGUUGAUAGGCCGGAGGUGGACACCCAGUAACGGGUACCAAGCCGACCGGUACUAACACGGCCGAUCACACACAAGA
rnacentral:rRNA from 1 species